rnacentral:rRNA from 1 species
UACGUAGGGUGCGAGCGUUGUCCGGAAUUAUUGGGCGUAAAGAGCUUGUAGGUGGUUUGUCGCGUCUGCUGUGAAAAUCCGAGGCUCAACCUCGGACUUGCAGUGGGUACGGGCAGACUAGAGUCCGGAAGAGGCGAGUGGAAUUCCUGGUGUAGCGGUGAAAUGCGCAGAUAUCAGGAAGAACACCCUGGCUAAGGGCGGCUCUCUAGUACGGUACUGACGCUAGACGCGAAAAGCUGGG